rnacentral:piRNA from 1 species
UGCCAAAAUGUUGUGGGAAUCAGGAGACU